UACGUAGGGUGCAAGCGUGUCCGGAAUUAUUGGGCGUAAAGAGCUCGUAGGCGGUUUGUCGCGUCUGCUGUGAAAGCCCGGGGCUAACCCCGGGUCUGCAUUCGAUACGGGCUGGCUAGAGUGUGGUAGGGGAGAUCGGAAUUCCUGGUGUAGCGGUGAAAUGCGCAGAUAUCAGGAGGAACACCGGUGGCGAAGGCGGAUCUCUGGGCCAUUACUGACGCUGAGGAGCGAAAGCGUGGGGAGCGAACAGG
rnacentral:rRNA from 1 species